rnacentral:misc_RNA from 1 species
CACAAGUUUCAGAUCACCCGCAGAGCUUGGAGGACCGGCGUAGUGAUUGCCGGGAAGAGGAUUCCGACGGAUUCCUAGCGAGAAAAAAAUGAAAAAUACGAAGAAGAAGCUGGUGGACAGAGAGAAAGCAGAGAAGGUGAUGUCGACGUCGACGAUGAGAAAGACGACGAAGAAGAAGGAGAAAUUUGAGAGGAGAUUGGUGAAAUACAAGGACUUGCCUGAGUAUUUGCAAGAUAACGAGUGCAUAUUGGAUUACUACCGGUGCGAAUGGCCGGUGAAGGAUGCGUUCUUGAGCGUCUUCUCUCUGCACAACGAAUCGCUAAAUGUCUGGACGCAUUUGGGAGGGUUUCUGAUAUUUUUGGGGUUGACGGUCAUGAGUUGUGUAGAGACGACUGAGUUGGGAGGAUUCAUAAACGGUUUCUCCAGAAGGAAAGUUUCUCAAUCGUUGAUGGUGAUGAAGCGUCCAGAGUUCAACGUCUCUGAUAAUCACGUGCUUAACGAUGUCCACUUGAGACGCAUUUCACAAGAGUCAAUUUUCCACAUGCAUAAACAAGAUGGUUUUGAAACUAUACCUAGAUGGCCAUGGUUUGUUUUCUUAUCAGGAGCAAUGGGGUGCUUGGUUUGCAGCACCCUUUCCCACCUCCUUGCUUGCCACUCCAAGCGCUUCAACAUUUUCUUUUGGCGCCUAGAUUAUGCUGGCAUUUCCCUUAUGAUUGUUUGCUCAUUCUUUGCUCCCAUAUAUUACGUCUUUUACUGCAACCCAAUUGCCCGAUUCUUUUACAUUACCACCAUAAGUGUGUUAGGUAUUCUUGCCAUUAUCACCCUCCUCACGCCUGCUCUUUCUUCUCCUCGCUACCGAUCUUUCAGGGCUACUCUGUUCUUCAUCAUAGGGAUAUCAGGGGUGAUUCCUGCAGCACAUGCAGUUUCCGUCCACUGGGGCAAUUCACAAAUAUAUGCAUCUCUUGGUCUUGAGAUUCUUAUGGCCGUUUUAUAUGCUGCAGGAGUUGCGUUUUAUGUUACCAGAGUACCAGAACGUUGGAAGCCUGGCACUUUUGACAUUGCAGGACACAGUCAUCAGAUCUUUCAUAUGUUUGUUGUUCUUGCUGCCCUUGCUCACGCUGCUGCUAUACUGGUAAUUAUGGAUUUUCGCUGGAAAUCACCUGCCUGCUCGUGUUAGGCGUACCAAACUUUGCUUCCUUAAGAAAAAAAAGUAAUAUUCGUAAUAUUCUCUCGUAAAACUUCUGUAAUACCAAAAAGAAAAUUUCUGCAUUUGUAUUUUAAAGAGGAGGUAAUUCACGUCCUCAUAUUCGUGGUUAGAAUUUUAGAACUU